CGUCGUCCAGCACGUGCUGGAAGCGCUCCUUGUGCGCGAACUGCUUGGAGGCGUAGAUGUUGCCGAACGCGACGGUGCCGAUGAUGCCGUCGGUGAGGGCGAAGACGUGGUCGUUGAGGACGAUGGAGGCCUUGGACGCGGCGGCGCGGUCGAGGUCGGCGACGAGCCUGUCCAUCUCCUGCUCGCGCGCGUAGCAGGCGGCCUUGACGCGGCGCAUGCUGAGGAGCUCGAGCGCGAAGAGCUUGCGCAUCUCGCGCCAGUACUCGCCGUAGGGCGCGAAGCCGACGUUCUUGAGGUCGUAGGAGAGGCGCUUGGGACCGGGCGACGCCGGCCGGCUGCAGCAGUCGACGUCGUGCACCUUGAGAACCUCCCGCGCCGCCUCCGCGCUGGACACCACCACCGUCGGCACGGUGCCUAGACGGAGCUGCAUCACGGGGCCGUACCGCCGCGCCAGCUCGCGGAGGUUCUUGUGCGGCAGCGGGCCCAGCAGGUGCAGGUUGCCCAGGAUCGGCAGCUGCGCAGGGCCCGGCGGCAGCCGCGGCGCCCCGCCCAGCUUGCCGCUCCUGCUCCUGUUCCUGCUCCUGCUGGUGAGGAGGUAGUAGGACACCAGCAGCACAGGGAGGAGCACCAGGAGGCACGUCUGCCACUGCUGCGGCACGCUGCCGCCGAGGAGCUGCGGGGUGGCGGUGGUGGCCAUUGUUAAUUGCCCGUGCCCCUGCUUGCCUUGGGGUAUGGCCGGGCGAGACGAGUGUGGAGUGUGAGCUGCUUCUAGCUCUGCUUG
rnacentral:lncRNA from 1 species